rnacentral:rRNA from 1 species
CCUACGGGAGGCUGCAGUGAGGAAUAUUGGUCAAUGGGCGGAAGCCUGAACCAGCCAAGUAGCGUGCAGGAUGACGGCCCUACGGGUUGUAAACUGCUUUUAUACGGGAAUAACGCGCCUUACGUGUAGGGCUUUGCAUGUACCGUAUGAAUAAGGACCGGCUAAUUCCGUGCCAGCAGCCGCGGUAAUACGGAAGGUCCGGGCGUUAUCCGGAUUUAUUGGGUUUAAAGGGAGCGUAGGCCGCAUGUCAAGCGUGCUGUGAAAUGUCCGGGCUCAACCCGGGCCUUGCAGCGCGUACUGGCAGGCUUGAGUCCGCUGAAGGCAGGCGGAAUUCGUCGUGUAGCGGUGAAAUGCUUAGAUAUGACGAAGAACCCCGAUUGCGAAGGCAGCUUGCUGCAGCGGAACUGACGCCGAUGCUCGAAAGCGCGGGUAUCGAACAGGAUUAGAUACCCCAGUAGUC